UUUGCGUUAGGGAUGGGAGCGGCAUCCUUUUGUGGAGUUUACGGAACAAAAGAUAUAGCGGACAGCCCGACCCUUG
rnacentral:sRNA from 1 species